rnacentral:rRNA from 1 species
UACGGGGGGGGCAAGCGUUGUUCGGAAUUACUGGGCGUAAAGGGCUCGUAGGCGGCCAACUAAGUCAGACGUGAAAUCCCUCGGCUUAACCGGGGAACUGCGUCUGAUACUGGAUGGCUUGAGUGUGGGAGAGGAAUGCGGAAUUCCAGGUGUAGCGGUGAAAUGCGUAGAUAUCUGGAGGAACACCGGUGGCGAAGGCGGCGUUCUGGACUGUUUCUGACACUGAAAAACGAAAGCCAGGGGAGCAAACGGG